rnacentral:misc_RNA from 1 species
CGCAGCCGCGGUAAUUCCAGCUCCAAUAGCGUAUAUUAAAGUUGUUGCAGUUAAAAAGCUCGUAGUUGAAUUUCGGGGUUAGUAGGUUGGUCAUGCCUCUGGUAUGUACUGGUCUCACUGAUUCCUCCUUCCUGAUGAGCCGUAAUGCCAUUAAUUUGGUGUUGCGGGGAAUCUGGACUGUUACUUUGAAAAAUUAGAGUGUUUAAAGCAAGCUAACGCUUGAAUACAUUAGCAUGGAAUAAUGAAAUAGGACGUUCGAUCCUAUUUUGUUGGUUCCUAGGAUUGACGUAAUGAUUAAUAGGGAUAGUUGGGGGCAUUAGUAUUCAAUUGUCAGAGGUGAAAUUCUUGGAUUUAUUGAAGACUAACUACUGCGAAAGCAUUUGCCAAGGAUGUUUUCAUUAAUCAAGAACGAAAGUUAGGGGAUCGAAGACGAUCAGAUACCGUCGUAGUCUUAACCAUAAACUAUGCCGACUAGGGAUCGGAUGAUGUUAAUUUUUUAAUGUACUCAUUCGGCGCCUUA